AGAGUUUGAUCCUGGCUCAGGAUGAACGCUAGCGGCAGGCCUAAUACAUGCAAGUCGAACGGUAACAUUGGUGCUUGCACCAGAUGACGAGUGGCGCACGGGUGCGUAACGCGUAUGCAAUCUACCUUUUACUAGAGUAUAGCCCAGAGAAAUUUGGAUUAAUCCUCUAUAAUAUCUUUAAGUUUCAUGACUUUUAGAUUAAAGUUUUAACGGUAAAAGAUGAGCAUGCGUCCUAUUAGUUUGUAGGUGAGGUAACGGCUCACCUAGACUACGAUAGGUAGGGGCCCUGAGAGGGGGAUCCCCCACACUGGUACUGAGACACGGACCAGACUCCUACGGGAGGCAGCAGUAAGGAAUAUUGGACAAUGGACGAAAGUCUGAUCCAGCCAUGCCGCGUGCAGGAUGAAAGCCCUAUGGGUUGUAAACUGCUUUUAUACAGGAAGAAACACUCGUACGUGUACGAGCUUGACGGUACUGUAAGAAUAAGGACCGGCUAACUCCGUGCCAGCAGCCGCGGUAAUACGGAGGGUCCGAGCGUUAUCCGGAAUCAUUGGGUUUAAAGGGUCCGCAGGCGGUCUUUUAAGUCAGAGGUGAAAGCCUACAGCUCAACUGUAGAACGGCCUUUGAUACUGAAAGACUUGAGUUAUUAUGAAGUGGUUAGAAUGUGUGGUGUAGCGGUGAAAUGCAUAGAUAUCACACAGAAUACCGAUUGCGAAGGCAGAUCACUAAUAAUAUACUGACGCUCAUGGACGAAAGCGUGGGGAGCGAACAGGAUUAGAUACCCUGGUAGUCCACGCCGUAAACGAUGGAUACUAGCUGUUCGUCUAACAUUGGUUAGAUGAGUGGCUAAGCGAAAGUGAUAAGUAUCCCACCUGGGGAGUACGGUCGCAAGACUGAAACUCAAAGGAAUUGACGGGGGCCCGCACAAGCGGUGGAGCAUGUGGUUUAAUUCGAUGAUACGCGAGGAACCUUACCAGGGCUUAAAUGUAGUGGGACAGGUCUAGAGAUAGA
rnacentral:rRNA from 1 species